UACGUAGGGUGCGAGCGUUAAUCGGAAUUACUGGGCGUAAAGCGUGCGUAGGCGGUUCGUUAUGUCUGCUGUGAAAGCCCCGGGCCUAACCUGGGAAUGGCAGUGGAAACUGGCGGGCUUGAGUGUGGCAGAGGGGGGUGGAAUUCCGCGUGUAGCAGUGAAAUGCGUAGAGAUGCGGAGGAACACCGAUGGCGAAGGCAGCCCCCUGGGCUGACACUGACGCUGAGGCACGAAAGCGUGGGGAGCAAACAGG
rnacentral:rRNA from 1 species